rnacentral:rRNA from 1 species
AGAGUUUGAUCCUGGCUCAGAGUGAACGCUGGCGGCAGGCCUAACACAUGCAAGUCGAACGGCAGCGGGUCCUUCGGGAUGCCGGCGAGUGGCGGACGGGUGAGGAAUACAUGGGAAUCUGCCCAGUCGUGGGGGAUAACGUAGGGAAACUUACGCUAAUACCGCAUGCGACCUUAGGGUGAAAGCGGCGGACCGCAAGGCGUCGCGCGAUUGGAUGAGCCCAUGUCGGAUUAGCUAGUUGGCGGGGUAAAGGCCCACCAAGGCGACGAUCCGUAGCUGGUCUGAGAGGAUGAUCAGCCACACUGGAACUGAGACACGGUCCAGACUCCUACGGGAGGCAGC